rnacentral:rRNA from 1 species
GAUGAACGCUGGCGGCGUGCCUAAUACAUGCAAGUCGAGCGAACAGACGAGGAGCUUGCUCCUCUGACGUUAGCGGCGGACGGGUGAGUAACACGUGGAUAACCUACCUAUAAGACUGGGAUAACUUCGGGAAACCGGAGCUAAUACCGGAUAAUAUAUUUAACCGCAUGGUUCAAUAGUGAAAGACGGUUUUGCUGUCACUUAUAGAUGGAUCCGCGCCGCAUUAGCUAGUUGGUAAGGUAACGGCUUACCAAGGCGACGAUGCGUAGCCGACCUGAGAGGGUGAUCGGCCGCACUGGAACUGAGACACGGUCCAGACUCCUACGGGAGGCAGCAGUAGGGAAUCUUCCGCAAUGGGCGAAAGCCUGACGGAGCAACGCCGCGUGAGUGAUGAAGGUCUUCGGAUCGUAAAACUCUGUUAUUAGGGAAGAACAAAUGUGUAAGUAACUAUGCACGUCUUGACGGUACCUAAUCAGAAAGCCACGGCUAACUACGUG